CGUCUCUAAACUUGUUUCACCAAUUGAAAAAACGAUUAUCCCGAUUUGUGGCUCUUGCCUCUCGUCUACCGGCUUAUAUUUGCAAUCUGCAACAUAUCGUCGUCUCCCUAUUCCAUACGUAUCAAGCGAGAUAUGUUCAGUCUCUGACUUGGCCUUCUAAUAUUUUGAAAAUUUUGGAAUGCUUUCUUCAAGUGUAUGAACCAUAUUGUAUACUUCGAACUCGACUCUGAUACUGACCUUAUGGGUCCCCAUCUUGCAACUCUUUCCGUUGUGAAGAGCAUACUGCUGCAACCCUCCUCCUUUACAAAGAGAACAAUUUGCUCCUUACCCUCCUUCAUGAAGAAAACUGUUACAAUGUGGUCUCCGGUCUGGAACCGUCCAUUCUUCCAGUUGUUACUAUCUUUUGGAGAAGAAGUAAUACGUCUCAUGCCGGUGAGAAUUGAGGUCUUGGAUUCCUUUUCAAAGUCAAAUUGUCAAUCGACUAUGAUUAUUUACGACUUGCUUGUGGAUGUAGUAUCGACUUACGAUUUUCUCGCUUUUGUCUAUGUGCCUUAUCGC